rnacentral:rRNA from 1 species
AGUGAACGCUGGCGGCGUGCUUAACACAUGCAAGUCGAACGAGAACGGAUUAUAGCUUGCUAUAAUUGUCAGCUAAGUGGCGCACGGGUGAGUAAUGUAUAGGUAAUAUGCCUCUUACUAAGGGAUAACCAGGUGAAAGCUUGGCUAAUACCGCAUGAGUCCGUCGGGACGCCGGUCCUGACGGGGAAAGUGGAGCAAUCCACGCUAUGAGAUCGGCCCCGCGGCCCCAUUAGCUAGUUGGCGGGGUAACGGCCCACCAAGGCGACGAUGGGUAGCUGGUCUGAGAGGAUGAUCAGGCACACUGGAACUGAGACACGGUCCAGACUCCUACGGGAGGCAGCAGUGGGGAAUAUUGCACAAUGGAGGAAACUCUGAUGCAGCAACGCCGCGUGGAGGAUGACGCAUUUCGGUGUGUAAACUCCUUUUAUAAGGGAAGAUAAUGACGGUACCUUAUGAAUAAGCACCGGCUAACUCCGUGCCAGCAG